UACAGAGGGUGCAAGCGUUAAUCGGAAUUACUGGGCGUAAAGCGUGCGUAGACGGUCAUGUAAGUCGGGUGUGAAAGCCCCGGGCUCAACCUGGGAAUAGCAUUCGAGACUGCAUGGCUAGGGUGCGGAAGAGGGAAGCGGAAUUUCCGGUGUAGCGGUGAAAUGCGUAGAUAUCGGAAGGAACACAGUGGCGAAAGCGGCUUCCUGGUCCAGCACCGACGUUCAGGCACGAAAGCGUGGGAGCAACAGG
rnacentral:rRNA from 1 species